GCCCGCGGGCGGCCGAGGGAGUGGCCGCCCUCGAGGCCGCCGGGAUGCUGCGCCGCCGGGCGUCCGGCUGGUUCUGGACCAGCCGCGAGCG
rnacentral:tRNA from 1 species